CAGAGGUGCCGAGCGUUAGGCGGAAUCACUGGGCUUAAAGCGUGUGUAGGCGGGGCGUUAAGUGCUUUGUGAAAUCCCACGGCUCACCCGUGGAACUGCUUGGCAUACUGGCGCUCUUGAGCCACUUAGGGCAACUGGAACAAACGGUGGAGCGGUGAAAUGCGUAGAUAUCGUUUGGAACGCCAAUGGUGAAAACAGGUUGCUGGGAGUGUGCUGACGCUGAGACACGAAAGCCAGGGGAGCGAACGGGAUUAGAUACCCCGGUAGUCCUGGCCGUAAACGAUGUCGACUAGAUCCUGGCCGCUCUGACGCGGUCAGGGUCGAAGCAAAAGUGCUAAGUCGACCGCCUGGGAAGUACGGUCGCAAGGCUA
rnacentral:rRNA from 1 species